rnacentral:rRNA from 1 species
UUGUUGGUAAGGUAAAAGCUUACCAAGGCUUCGAUCAGUAGCUGGUCUGAGAGGACGACCAGCCACACUGGGACUGAGACACGGCCCAGACUCCUACGGGAGGCAGCAGUGGGGAAUUUUGGACAAUGGGGGCAACCCUGAUCCAGCCAUGCCGCGUGAGUGAAGAAGGCRUUCGUUGUAAAGCUCUUUCAGCCGGAACGAAACGGUUACGGAUAACACCCGUGACUACUGACGGUACCGGAAGAAGAAGCACCGGCUAACUACGUGCCAGCAGCCGCGGUAAUACGUAGGGUGCGAGCGUUAAUCGGAAUUACUGGGCGUAAAGCGUGCGCAGGUGGUUUUGUAAGUCAGAUGUGAAAGCCCCGGGCUCAACCUGGGAACUGCGUUUGAAACUACAAGACUAGAGUGUGGCGGAGGGGGGUGGAAUUCCGCGUGUAGCGGUGAAAUGCGUAGAGAUGUGGAGGAACACCGAUGGCGAAGGCAGCCCCCUGGGUCAACACUGACGCUCAGGCACGAAAGCAUGGGGAGCAAACAGGAUUAGAUACCCUGGUAGUCCAUGCCCUAAACGAUGUCAACUAGUUGUCGGGCCUUUACGGGCUUGGUAACGUAGCUAACGCGUGAAGUUGACCGCCUGGGGAGUACGAUCGCAAGAUUAAAACUCAAAUGAAUUGACGGGGACCCGCACAAGCGGUGGAUUAUGUGGAUUAAUUCGAUGCAACGCGAAAAACCUUACCUACCCUUGACAUGUAUCGAAGCCCGCAGAAAAGCGGGGGUGCCCGAAAGGGAACGAUAACACAGGUGCUGCAUGGCUGUCGUCAGCUCGUGUCGUGAGAUGUUGGGUUAAGUCCCGCAACGAGCGCAACCCUUGUCAUUAAUUGCCAUCAUUUAGUUGGGCACUUUAAUGAGACUGCCGG